UGCAAGUCGAACGCACUCUCGUUUAGAUUGAAGGAGCUUGCUCCUGAUUGAUAAACAUUUGAGUGAGUGGCGGACGGGUGAGUAACACGUGGGUAACCUGCCCUAAAGUGGGGGAUAACAUUUGGAAACAGAUGCUAAUACCGCAUAAAACCUAACACCGCAUGGUGUAGGGUUGAAAGAUGGUUUCGGCUAUCACUUUAGGAUGGACCCGCGGUGCAUUAGUUAGUUGGUGAGGUAAAGGCUCACCAAGACCGUGAUGCAUAGCCGACCUGAGAGGGUAAUCGGCCACACUGGGACUGAGACACGGCCCAGACUCCUACGGGAGGCAGCAGUAGGGAAUCUUCCACAAUGGACGAAAGUCUGAUGGAGCAACGCCGCGUGAGUGAAGAAGGUUUUCGGAUCGUAAAACUCUGUUGUUGGAGAAGAAUGUAUCUGAUAGUAACUGAUCAGGUAGUGACGGUAUCCAACCAGAAAGCCACGGCUAACUACGUGCCAGCAGCCGCGGUAAUACGUAGGUGGCAAGCGUUGUCCGGAUUUAUUGGGCGUAAAGCGAGCGCAGGCGGUUUCUUAAGUCUGAUGUGAAAGCCUUCGGCUCAACCGAAGAAGUGCAUCGGAAACUGGGAAACUUGAGUGCAGAAGAGGACAGUGGAACUCCAUGUGUAGCGGUGAAAUGCGUAGAUAUAUGGAAGAACACCAGUGGCGAAGGCGGCUGUCUGGUCUGUAACUGACGCUGAGGCUCGAAAGCAUGGGUAGCAAACAGGAUUAGAUACCCUGGUAGUCCAUGCCGUAAACGAUGAGUGCUAGGUGUUGGAGGGUUUCCGCCCUUCAGUGCCGCAGCUAACGCAUUAAGCACUCCGCCUGGGGAGUACGACCGCAAGGUUGAAACUCAAAGGAAUUGACGGGGGCCCGCACAAGCGGUGGAGCAUGUGGUUUAAUUCGAAGCAACGCGAAGAACCUUACCAGGUCUUGACAUCCUUUGACCACUCUAGAAAUAAGAGUUUUCCCUUCGGGGACAAAGUGACAGGUGGUGCAUGGUUGUCGUCACCUCCGGUCCGGGAAAUGUUGGGUUAAGUCCCGCAACGAGGCCACCCUUAU
rnacentral:rRNA from 1 species